rnacentral:rRNA from 1 species
CUGGCUCAGAACGAACGCUGGCGGCAGGCUUAACACAUGCAAGUCGAGCGCCCCGCAAGGGGAGCGGCAGACGGGUGAGUAACGCGUGGGAAUCUACCCUUGACUACGGAAUAACGCAGGGAAACUUGUGCUAAUACCGUAUGUGUCCUUCGGGAGAAAGAUUUAUCGGUCAAGGAUGAGCCCGCGUUGGAUUAGCUAGUUGGUGGGGUAAAGGCCUACCAAGGCGACGAUCCAUAGCUGGUCUGAGAGGAUGAUCAGCCACAUUGGGACUGAGACACGGCCCAAACUCCUACGGGAKGCAGCAGUGGGGAAUAUUGGACAAUGGGCGCAAGCCUGAUCCAGCCAUGCCGCGUGAGUGAUGAAGGCCCUAGGGUUGUAAAGCUCUUUCACCGGAGAAGAUAAUGACGG